GCAAUGCCGCGUGUGUGAAGAAGGCCUUCGGGUUGUAAAGCACUUUUGUCCGGAAAGAAAUCCUUGGCUCUAAUACAGUCGGGGGAUGACGGUACCGGAAGAAUAAGCACCGGCUAACUACGUGCCAGCAGCCGCGGUAAUACGUAGGGUGCGAGCGUUAAUCGGAAUUACUGGGCGUAAAGCGUGCGCAGGCGGUUUGCUAAGACCGAUGUGAAAUCCCCGGGCUCAACCUGGGAACUGCAUUGGUGACUGGCAGGCUAGAGUAUGGCAGAGGGGGGUAGAAUUCCACGUGUAGCAGUGAAAUGCGUAGAGAUGUGGAGGAAUACCGAUGGCGAAGGCAGCCCCCUGGGCCAAUACUGACGCUCAUGCACGAAAGCGUGGGGAGCAAACAGGAUUAGAUACCCUGGUAGUCCACGCCCUAAACGAUGUCAACUAGUUGUUGGGGAUUCAUUUCCUUAGUAACGUAGCUAACGCGUGAAGUUGACCGCCUGGGGAGUACGGUCGCAAGAUUAAAACUCAAAGGAAUUGACGGGGACCCGCACAAGCGGUGGAUGAUGUGGAUUAAUUCGAUGCAACGCGAAAAACCUUACCUACCCUUGACAUGGUCGGAAUCCUG
rnacentral:rRNA from 2 species